rnacentral:rRNA from 1 species
AUUGAACGCUGGCGGCAGGCUUAACACAUGCAAGUCGAGCGGGGUGAUGGCGCUUGCACUAUCACUUAGCGGCGGACGGGUGAGUAAUGCUUAGGAAUCUGCCUAUUAGUGGGGGACAACAUCUCGAAAGGGAUGCUAAUACCGCAUACGUCCUACGGGAGAAAGCAGGGGAUCACUUGUGACCUUGCGCUAAUAGAUGAGCCUAAGUCGGAUUAGCUAGUUGGUGGGGUAAAGGCCUACCAAGGCGACGAUCUGUAGCGGGUCUGAGAGGAUGAUCCGCCACACUGGGACUGAGACACGGCCCAGACUCCUACGGGAGGCAGCAGUGGGGAAUAUUGGACAAUGGGGGGAACCCUGAUCCAGCCAUGCCGCGUGUGUGAAGAAGGCCUUAUGGUUGUAAAGCACUUUAAGCGAGGAGGAGGCUCUUUUGGUUAAUACCCAAGAUGAGUGGACGUUACUCGCAGAAUAAGCGCCGGCUAACUCUGUGCCAGCCGCCGCAGUAA